AUUGAACGCUGGCGGCAGGCCUAACACAUGCAAGUCGAGCGGAUGAACGGAGCUUUCUCCUGGAUUCCGCGGCGGACGGGUGAGUAAUGCCUAGGAAUCUGCCUUGUAGUUGGGGAUAACGUCCGGAAACGGGCGCGAAUACCGCAUACGUCCUGAUGUAGAAAGGGGGGGAUCUUUGGAGCUAACGCUAUCUGAUGAGCCUAGGUCGGAUUAGCUAGUUGGUUGGGUAAAGGCCUACCAAGGCGACGAUCCGUAACUGGUCUGAGAGGAUGAUCAGUCACACUGGAACUGAGACACGGUCCAGACUCCUACGGGAGGCAGCAGUGGGGAAUAUUGGACAAUGGGCGAAAGCCUGAUCCAGCCAUGCCGCGUGUGUGAAGAAGGUCUUCGGAUUGUAAAGCACUUUUAGUUGGGAGGAAGGGCAGUAAGUUAAUACCUUGCUGUCUUGACGGUACCAACAGAAUAAGCACCGGCUAACUACGUG
rnacentral:rRNA from 1 species